ensembl:lncRNA
GGAGGGUGAAGGUAACGGUGGUCCCCGUGGUAAUCGGAGCACUAGGUGCGGUGACUCCCAAGCUAGGCGAGUGGCUCCAGCAGAUCCCGGGAACAACAUCGGAGAUCUCUGUCCAGAAGAGCGCAGUCCUGGGAACAGCUAAGAUACUGCGCAGGACCCUCAAGCUCCCAGGCCUCUGGUAGAGGACCCGAGCUUGAAGGAUAAACCGCCCGCAGGGGCGUGCUGGGUGUUUUUUUUUUGUUUUUUUUGUUUUUUUUCUUUCUUCCCCCCCUUCUCACCGUCUCUUCUCCCCUUUGGUUUUCUUUCUCUCCCUCUCUUUCUUUCAUUCUUUCUCCCUGUCCUGUCCCGUUUGUAGCAACUGAAGAUAAAAUAAAUUCAUAAUUAUAAUAAAGGUCAAUCAAAUGGACCAAUAUGGCAAGGCCAUGAUGAUCCACUUGGUAAAAUAAAUCCGCUUGGCAUCUUUCUUGGCCUUAAGACAACAAUUCUGAUGGCUAAAGAUCCAAACGGGACACAAAAAAAAAAAAAAAAAAAAAAAAGCUGUAAGCUAAUAAUAAUAAUAAUGGAUUGAUAUAGCGCUUUUCAAGGCACCCAAAGCGCUUUACAAUGCCACUAUUCAUGCACUCUCACAUUAACACACUGGUGGAGGCAAGCUACGGUUGUAGCCACAGCUGCCCUGGGGCAGACUGACAGAAGCGAGGCUGCCAUAUCGCGCCAUCGGCCCCUCUGGCCAACACCAGUAGGCAAGUAGGGUAAAGUGUCUUGCCCAAGGACACAACGACCAGGACAGAGAGCCCGGGGAUCGAACCGGCGACCUUCCGGUUACAGAUACGCUUCCCAACCCCCUGAGCCACGGUCGCCCCUAAUGAUAGUUAUAUAAGAGCAGACGCAUGCUGGUGCAAUAAGCUGUACGUUUUACGUACAAUGGAUGCAUGAUCUGAUUAGUCGACUAAUCGCAAAAAUAAUCGGUGACUAGUCGACUAUCAAAAUAAUCGUUUGUGGCAGCCCUAUUCAACUUGAAAUAUUCAGUGUAUCACAGUGUGAUCUGUAAAAAAAUACUAGGUUUAGAAGACAAGAGGCUGUGUUUGUGUGUGUGUGUGUGUGGUAGGUAGAUAGAGAGAUCGAUGG